AUUGAACGCUGGCGGCAUGCCUUACACAUGCAAGUCGAACGGAUUUUGGGGCUUGCUCCAGAGUUAGUGGCGAACGGGUGAGUAAUGCAUCGGAACGUACCCAGUCGUGGGGGAUAACGUAGCGAAAGUUACGCUAAUACCGCAUACGAUCUGAGGAUGAAAGCGGGGGACCUUCGGGCCUCGCGCGAUUGGAGCGGCCGAUGUCGGAUUAGCUAGUUGGUGAGGUAAAGGCUCACCAAGGCGACGAUCCGUAGCUGGUCUGAGAGGACGACCAGCCACACUGGGACUGAGACACGGCCCAGACUCCUACGGGAGGCAGCAGUGGGGAAUUUUGGACAAUGGGCGAAAGCCUGAUCCAGCCAUGCCGCGUGAGUGAAGAAGGCCUUCGGGUUGUAAAGCUCUUUCAGACGGAAAGAAAUCUCUCGGGUGAAUAUCCCGGGAGGAUGACGGUACCGUAAGAAGAAGCACCGGCUAACUACGUGCCAGCCGCCGCAGUAA
rnacentral:rRNA from 1 species